rnacentral:rRNA from 1 species
AGUGAACGCUGGCGGUAGGCCUAACACAUGCAAGUCGAACGGCAGCACAGUAAGAGCUUGCUCUUACGGGUGGCGAGUGGCGGACGGGUGAGGAAUACAUCGGAAUCUACUUUUUCGUGGGGGAUAACGUAGGGAAACUUACGCUAAUACCGCAUACGACCUACGGGUGAAAGCAGGGGAUCUUCGGACCUUGCGCGUUUGAAUGAGCCGAUGUCGGAUUAGCUAGUUGGCGGGGUAAAGGCCCACCAAGGCGACGAUCCGUAGCUGGUCUGAGAGGAUGAUCAGCCACACUGGAACUGAGACACGGUCCAGGCUCCUACGGGAGGCAGCAGUGGGGAAUAUUGGACAAUGGGCGCAAGCCUGAUCCAGCCAUACCGCGUGGGUGAAGAAGGCCUUCGGGUUGUAAAGCCCUUUUGUUGGGAAAGAAAAGCAGCAGGUUAAUACCCCGCUGUUCUGACGGUACCCAAAGAAUAAGCACCGGCUAACUUCGUG